rnacentral:rRNA from 1 species
GUGCAGCAGUCGAGAAUUUUUCUCAAUGGGGGAAACCCUGAAGGAGCGACGCCGCGUGGAGGAUGAAGGUCUUCGGGUUGUAAACUCCUGUCAUUUGGGAACAAGGCGUACGUAUUUACUGUACGUAUGUUGAUAGUACCAGAAGAGGAAGAGACGGCUAACUCUGUGCCAGCAGCCGCGGUAAUACAGAGGUCUCAAGCGUUGUUCGGAUUCAUUGGGCGUAAAGGGUGCGUAGGUGGCGCGGUAAGUCGGGUGUGAAAUUUCGGAGCUUAACUCCGAAACUGCAUUCGAUACUGCCGUGCUUGAGGACUGGAGGGAGACUGGAAUUUACGGUGUAGCAGUGAAAUGCGUAGAUAUCGUAAGGAAGACCAGUGGCGAAGGCGGUCUCUGGACAGUUCCUGACACUGAUGCACGAAGGCCAAGGGGAGCAAACGGGAUUAGAUACCCCCGUA